rnacentral:misc_RNA from 1 species
GAUGAAGAACGUAGCGAAAUGCGAUACGUAAUGUGAAUUGCAGAAUUCAGUGAAUCAUCGAGUCUUUGAACGCACAUUGCGCCCGCCAGUAUUCUGGCGGGCAUGCCUGUUCGAGCGUCAUUUCAACCCUCAAGCCCCCGGGCUUGGUGUUGGGGAUCGGCGUGCCCUCGCGGCGCGCCGUCCCCUAAAUCUAGUGGCGGUCUCGCUGUAGCUUCCUCUGCGUAGUAGCAACACUCGCACUGGAUCGCAGCGCGGCCACGCCGUUAAACCCCCCACUUCUGAAAGUUUGACCUCGGAUCAGGUAGGAAUACCCGCUGAACUUAAGCAUAUCAAUAAGCGGAGGA